GACGAACGCUGACGGCGUGCUUAACACAUGCAAGUCGAAGGGAGUGGCGAACGGGUGAGUAACACGUGAGUAACCUGCCCUUUUCUUUGGGAUAAGCCUGGGAAACUGGGUCUAAUACUGGAUGGAUUGGGAUGGGCUCGCGGCUUAUCGGCUGGUUGGUGGGGUGAUGGCUUACCAAGGCUUUGACGGGUAGCCGGCCUGAGGGGGUGAUCGGUCACACUGAGACGGACCAACGUCCCAGGGUGCGACGGGAGGGAGCAGUUGGGAAUAUGGCACAAUGGAUGAAAGUCUGAUGCAGCGACGUCGUGUGGGGGAUGAGGGCCUUAGGGUUGUAAACUCCUGUCGCAAGCGGAAUGGUACUGGGUAAAGAAGCGCCGGCUAACUACGUGCCAGCAGCCGCGGUAAUUC
rnacentral:rRNA from 1 species